rnacentral:rRNA from 1 species
CAGCAGCCGCGGGGAAUACCGAGGGUGCGAGCGUUAAUCGGAUUUACUGGGCGUAAAGCGUGCGUAGGCGGCUUCUUAAGUCGGAUGUGAAAUCCCUGAGCUUAACUUAGGAAUUGCAUUCGAUACUGGGAAGCUAGAGUAUGGGAGAGGAUGGUAGAAUUCCAGGUGUAGCGGUGAAAUGCGUAGAGAUCUGGAGGAAUACCGAUGGCGAAGGCAGCCAUCUGGCCUAAUACUGACGCUGAGGUACGAAAGCAUGGGGAGCAAACAGGAUUAGAUACCCCUGUAGUCCCUGUCUCUUAUU